CGCAACAAAUUGGGCCAAAAGAUCCAUUAUUUUCACUGCUCUUCUCUCCGAUCUCUGUUGAUUCUCAAGAAGAAAGGCUAAAAAAAUUGGAAGCUUUGGUUUGGUUUGUUGUGCAGGUGAAGUUAGAUCCUUCGAGGCCGUUGAGCAGGAAUAAGCACUGGGUUGUUGCUGAGAUCAUCAAGAAAGCUCGCAUCUAUUCUCCUCAAGCCGCUGCUAUUGCUGCUUCUGCAUCAACUUCCUCGGCCUCCAUUGCGGACUCUACUGCUCCAUCCUCUACCUCUUAAGUUUUGUUAGGAGUCUGCAUGCAUCGAGAAGGGAGAUGUGUCGCUUGGAUACUGGAUUUCAUGAAAUGCUAACGAAGAUGGCUUUGUUCCGAUCAACAUAUUCGAUCAAACUUGAUGUUUCAGGAUGGUGUUUGUUUUUCCUGGGAUAAUGUAGUGAAAAUGUUAUGAAUAGGAGUAUUAGUAAACUCUCAGUUGGUGGUGAGCUUUUGAUGUCCUGUUACGUCAUUUUCGUAACAUAUGUGCAUGAAUGAAACAAUGAGUGAACCUUCUUGAUGAUGGAGAAUGCUUCUUUGUUAUACAAAAAUCAGCUUUUUCACUCUCAGAUAUUGGUAUAUCUAUAUCAACUGUCAUCAAUACAAAAAUUGAGUUCUAUUGACAUUUUUGUUUCUUGCUACCUAUCUAUUUUGUUUAGUCGUCUUUGUCAUCUAAUCUUUUUUUAGAUCAGAGAGAUGGAAGUAGCCAGAGGUUGAAGAGAGAAGAAGAAAGAGACAAGAACCAAGUCAAGAAAGCUAAUGUGGCUGCAAACUGGUAUCUGUUGCAUAUCGUUGGAGGGCAAACUGAUUCGUCUGAUCGCAAAAGAUCCACAACACUGGCUGCUGAUGAAGCUGAAGCCAACGCUAGAACAGACACCACCUUCAAACACACAAAAAAUAGUCAAAGAUCAUAUCAAAAUAUUGGAGGUUCCUUUCUCAGUAAGCGUUAGAAAAUGUAACUGCGUUACCCAAUCACCAAUUGAGAUGGCGAGAAGGAUUCGUGGCUUUUGAAAUGGUUGGUUGAGAAGAACGCAAUAGAUAUCCACCAUUGCUAGUGUCAAGUUCCAUGGUAUAGCCAAAGCCAUGAUCGUCACCAAGUAGCUGAAGAUUAAAGUUAUUAGGGUUCGUUCAUGAUAUGUAAUCUGGAGUUGGGAUCUAUAUACAUUACCAGAAAGCUGUGAACUGGUAGAAACGAACACCGAUGGUCAUGAAGAGAAGAGCGCCAAAUGCUAACAAUGUUUGACCUAAUCUCAAGGAAAGGCUUGCACUUGUGCCAACAGAGCCAGGAACCUCCACCAUCACCAGCUUUGCUUGAGUAGCACGUAAGUUAGCACUUAUCUAAGAAGAAGAUUAAAGCUUUUGAGAUGGAGUUUUUUCUAUUAGAUCAUCUGGGUUUUUAAUGUUUUCUAGUGGAAUCAAAGAUAUGAAGAUCAUGAUCAUGACGAAGAAGAAGGGAGGAUUAAAAGAAGGACAAGUUGAUGAGAGUUUCUGGUUCGCACGUUUGUUUGUAAGAGUUACGAAUGGUGGAAAAGAGAAGACUGUUCAUGUUGAGGAGAGUUGUGGUCUGUAUUCAUCAGACAAAGCUGAGCAAAUGUCGGAGCAAACACUAUUAUUCCUUUCUUCCUUCAUUUCCCAACCCCUCCCUUUAUUUUAUUCUUUUCUUGAUGUUCCAUUUAAUACAAAAAGUUGACUGGUUUUAGGAAUUAGAAGACAUUUCAGAGUAUCAUUACCG